CCUCCUUAUCAUUAUACAUAUUUGAUAAAUCUAUAGUUUACAGUUUACAUACAUAUUAUGUAUAUAUUAAACGAAUUUUAGGAAUUCAUGUAAAUUAUUAAAAUAAACUUAACUUUUACGCCACGGUAAAUUAUCUUUUGUGUCCGCAAUCCCAUGCCCGUCACUGCACCAUUUUCACAGUGUGGUACUGAGUUUGGAUUUGGUAAACUAUUUCAAAAAGUGAUAACUCAGUAUAGAUAAUUAUACUUUCAGUAUAAAAUUUCUUCAAAAUUUCUGGUGCAAUUUUGUUACUGAGGUGUUUUCUAUUUCAGUAUAGUUUCAUAUCUAUCCUAAAGCAUAUACAUAUUUAUUUCAAAUAUGUUUAUGUGAGCUUUUGAUUAGUUAGAAGUUAUUCCAUGGUUUAAUACCGUUCAGUGAACAAACAUUAGCAUUCGACUCCAAGUGUACGAGCCGUCAACGAUCGUGACUAGCUCAACUGACGAGUGAAUUUACUUCCAAAUUUAUAUACAUGUGUACGUAUAAUAGUUAUAUAGUAUCUACAUCUACAUAUGUUCGUAUAAAACGAUAGCCGAGAUGAUAACCCUAUGUAACAUGUGACGUACAACAACAAUGAUAGUAAUAAAGGGAGGUGGCUUAGAGAGUGUAGAGCACCGAAGCUCUGGAAUGGACAAGACUCUCAAAAUUUUUAAGAGAUCGGUUUAUUAAAAAUUGUACCUUUAGUCCGCGUUUUGCUUUCACGCUGUUUCGUUGACGUUUGUUACUGAGUUCACAGUGGCGGAGUGUUUUAAUGUCGUUGACGUGUUUUACAGUUUGUUGAUUUGUAUUUAUCGGAUAAAAUUUUUUCAUAGUUGAUUUUGUGAGUGAAUAUACACUUCUGAAAUGAGUAAAAUUAAAAAAAAUGUGAUUUAUGUAAGUUACGAGCAAUAUAAAGCAGAAAGAUAUUGAUUAAAUGUAUACCACGCGAACAUAUUGCUAACGGAUUCGUAUACACACACAUGUGCAUAUACGUAUACAUAUACACACUGCAAUUACGGCUUAUUUAUACCGAUCACGUAUUCCCGUCAACGAAAGUUACCAGUAAAUACUUAAUAAACAUAUGUGUUAGUGUGCGAAAAUCUACUGAGAGUAAAAGAAUAUGAUAUACGAAUAAGUGAGAAAAAGUGAAACAGUGAACUAGGAAUUAAUAUUUAAAAUAACUACAAUUAGAGAACUUGGAGAUUAAACAGGAUAUGAAAAAAAAGUUAAUUAUUUUAAGUAAUUAUUAUGUAUCCUAGCCAAAGUAACGCCAAUAUAGGCGGGGGCUCAAGGGUAAGCCCAAAUGAGGAACAUUUGCAACAUCAAUCCCCACAGCAUCAGCAACAACAAAAUAUGAAUUAUAAUUCGGAUCAAACGAAGCAACAACAUACGGACACCACUUCUUCAUCUCAGCAGCAAAUAAAUCCAAAUAAAAAAAUCGCUAAAAAGGCGUACGUUAAAAUUGUGGAACAACCUGCAAGCAAAGCAUUGAGAUUUCGUUAUGAAUGCGAGGGUCGUUCGGCUGGUUCCAUUCCGGGCGUGAAUUCGACCCCGGAAAUGAAAACCUUUCCUACGAUCGAAAUUGUAGGUUAUAAGGGGCGAGCAGUAGUUGUCGUUUCUUGUGUGACCAAGGACGCACCAUACCGUCCUCAUCCCCACAAUUUGGUAGGUAAGGAGGGUUGUAAAAAGGGUGUUUGCACCUUGGAAAUUAACAGCGAUACGAUGCGUGCCGUAUUUGGUAAUUUGGGAAUACAGUGUGUAAAGAAGAAAGAUAUUGAAAGUGCCUUGAAAGCAAGAGAAGAUAUUCGUGUUGAUCCUUUCAAAACCGGAUUUUCACACCGUUUCCAGCCAACUAGUAUAGAUCUAAACUCUGUCAGAUUGUGUUUCCAAGUAUUUUUGAAAGGUGACAUGGGUCGUUUCACAGUACCACUGUCACCUGUAGUCUCAGAGCCAAUUUAUGAUAAAAAGGCCAUGUCGGAUCUCGUUAUUUGUCGAAUUUGUGAGUGUUCGGCCUCGGUUUUAGGGAACACAAAAAUUAUUCUACUCUGCGAGAAAGUAGCUAAAGAGGACAUUGCCGUGCGAUUUUUUGAAGAGAAGGACGGUGUUACAAUUUGGCAAGCAUAUGGUCAGUUUGAGCACAGUGAUGUUCAUAAACAAACUGCGAUUACAUUUAGAACACCAAAAUACCACAAUACAAGCAUAACAACGCCAGUCGAGGUAUUGGUACAAUUGCAAAGACCUUCAGAUGGAGCAGUUAGUGACCCCGCGACAUUUGAAUAUAAACCAGCGAAGUCGGGUAGGUAUUCUUUAGAAAAUUUGCGUCGUAUGCUCAAACGGCCAGACGAUUACGUAUUUCAAGAAAUAUUAAAAACAGUUGAUGAUAAAAAAUCAAGUUUUGGAGAGGCUAUAAAUUUGGACACAUCAACUGCGGAUUCGCAUGAAGGGAUAAAGGGUUAUUUGGAUAAUUCCAUUACAGUGGAAGCAGCAGAAGCCGAUAAACGGCGUAAAGAGAAUGAAAUUGAUGCGAUAAUCGAUGAGAAAGUAAGGGAGUUAGAGCAACAGGAACUUAAUAUGAAACCAAUUCAUGCAAAGCUACAGCAUGUUGCAAUAUCGGAGGAGUCUAAAGUGGAAAAUGUGCAAACACAGUUGCAAGUUGAACAAGUUGCAAGUUCGCAGUUGGAAGGGGUCAAAUAUACUGCAGCGAAAGAACAGAAGCAACUUUCUGUUAAUGAUAAAAUCAAUGAAUGGAUGAAGAGCAAUGAAUUACAGGAGAAUGAAGGUUCUCCGCCACCUGAUGGUGCAGCAUCCAUUGCUUCUAUUGACGAGGAUAAAGUUCUUACAGCACUACUGGAUGAAGCUGCUGAGUUAGACGAAAUUUAUACACGACAUGUGCUUCAACGUGACACAUAUAAAGCUAUGCUCAGUGAAAUGAAUGGUAAGAAUUCUGAACUAGAUGGUCAGAAGAAAUCUAUGGAAGUAGAUGAUAGUUUUGAUGAUGCAGCUACUUACAGCAGUUUGCAAAGAGCUUUUAAGAACCCUGUUAAUAUACCGUUGGGUGAUUUAAUGCCACCAACUCCUCCAUCCUCUCAACUUGCUCCAGAGGAUACACAGUAUGACCGUAAUGGAAGUUUUGCAUUAAGUGCCGAUGCUGCAUUGGCUACACUGGAGCAGUUUCCUAUACCACCAUUACAACAACAGCCAAGUCAGCAGCAAAGAACCAAGCAAACCGUGUCACCCCCGCGUCCAUUGCCACCAAAAUAUUUGUCACCGCACAUGCACGUGACUGCUGCAGAAGAAGAGAAAUUACCUCCUCUUCCACCAAAACGUAUUCGAAAGCAAGAUGGAAUUACUGAAAGCAAUUCUAUUCAAGAGAAUAUCAACGUUGUAGCCGAUUACCGAUCUCGUUCGCCAGCUCCGAUAAUAAUAAAAAAGACUCCAGAUCAGUCGCCACUUUCAAAACGUUUGCCCUCCAAGCCGCUCAACGGCAGUAAUUCAAAUACUUUGCCUAAACAAAAGAAAUCCGGAUUUUUCUCGAAGAUUUUUUCACGACGUAAAAGCAGGCCUGACCUCAAUCAAAGUGAGGACGUAGCCCAAAAUUCCAAAGGCACUACUCCAGAUUUAAGUCGUGAACCAAGUAUUUCCCAAUUUCGAAUGAACGAUCCAAAUCGCGGAUCUGUAAAAUCUCUUCAGCCUAUAUCUUUACCAACAAGCCCUUCUAAAACAGAAUUUAAUAAAGCAACUAAGCCAAGUCGCCCAGUUGGUCGCAGUGUAAGUAGCAUUUCGGGAAAACGUCCAUCACGUUUGACCGCUGAUGUUAUACACAUACCAUUGAAAGGCGACAGUAUUAAUAGUCUGCCACAAAACGAAGAGUACUCACAUGCCAGUACCGUAACGUUAAGCAAUACACUUGACCGUAAAACUGUUUCAGCCUUACAACUUGCUGAUAUUCCAAUAUGUGAGGGAAAUAUGGAACUAGUAGCGAUAGCUGACCGCCAAAGUCUGCGUAACUUAUGCGAAGGGGCUUUCAAUGUCCAACUCGAUCCCGAUGUAGAUUUAACAGAAGCAGAACAUUUCGCAUUAUAUACCAGCAUACCGCCCCAUGCAACAGCCAGCGAAUUCGACGAAGCUUCUGCGUAUUACGCCGCAGUUGAUGCGGGGGAGAUUUUAACCCCCGAUGAAAUCGCUAGGCGUUUGGCAGCAGCGAACUGCAUCAAUUGAAAUAAGGAACAAUCAGUAAGCUCUUCCGAAGCUUGGGGAUUUCUAUAAUUAAUUUGACGAAAUUUGAUCAUCGAUCUUACAUUAAUCGAAAUGUGAAAAUUAAAAUAUAUCACGCUAUGAAGUAGUGUCUUUGACUAUCAAUAUGAUUCAAUUAUAAAAUUGGAUCAUGGACUAUCAAUUGAAAACUUCUGAAAAUAUAUAUUGUUGUUACAAAGAAACACCUAACGAAUGAUGAAAACACACUAAUGUCCAUACUUACAUACAUAUGUAUGUAAAAAUUUGAAAUGAAAACGAUACCACAAAACAAUGUCGGCAAUUAGUUUUUGAUAAAAAAUAAAAUAUUAUUGUGCAAUUAAUUGAUUUUAUAACAAAAACCCGGUAUUGAAUAAUUGUAAUAUAUUGAUCUAAUACAUACAUAUGUUCCAUAUAUUUUAUGUAGAGUAUUAUGCAUAUACAUACAUACAUUGAAACAUAUGUGUGUAAAAAUCUAUACCUACGCACAUACAUAGGUACAUAUUAUAUAAUACUGAGACUGUUUGAGACAUAAAUGAAGUCCACAGGUGAUGGUAAUAUCGGCAUUAAAAACGCGACCGAACAGGCGUCAAAGUACUUACAUAUGUAUGUAUAUAAAAAUAAUGGUUUGCUGUAUUCAAGCUUCGCCCAAUUUGAACAUACAUUAAUUUAUUAUAUAUCUUAUUAAUGAAAAAUAUGGAUUGGAAACCCGCGGUUUAAUCUAUUUAUAUCCAUUUUAGCUUUUUUAUAAAAACAUAAUAUUAAGCCAGAUCUAUUAGAUAUUAAAAUUACACAUGUAACUGAAAUAUUGAUGAAGUACUUAAAAGAGAACUUUGUACGAAAUUUAUACCACUGUUUGUUAAAAAAAAAUAAAUCAAGAAAUAACUCUUUUGAUUAUAGGACCAGAGGAAUUGAGACGAAAACGUCAAAGGACUGACGGCGAUACAAUGCAUUUCUCGCCGCAACAGCAAAGUGAUCACCCGGGUGGUCGCAUGACAAAUUGGAAUACACCCAAUAUACCAGCGAUUAAGACCGAGCCAAGAGAAGCAUCACCCCAACCAUUUAACUUAUAUCGUGGAACUUCGGAGAUGACUCCAUCUCCCCAGCCCUUAUCACCGCCGAAUAACUACAAUCUUCCAAAUACACCAUCACCCUACAACAUGGCUGCUGGGGGAAAUACACCAUUGAUGUCGCCUAGUCAUCAAUAUCGAGGGAACACCUUGGUAGGAGGAGUUCCAGCAAAUACUGAUACAAUGCCCAUUCCACUAGAAAUGCAUAACGAGUUUAACUCAUAUAGAGGUGGCCAGCCACACCCAGUACAACUCCAUUCGCGGCAGUAUGUGCGUCAAACUGAACUGCCACAACAGCAGGAUUUACAUCAACAACCACAGCACAAUCAGCAUCAGCCACAGCAGCAGCAAUAUCAUAAUCUUCUUUAUGGCAACACAGAGGCAACAAAUUGGGAGGAAAAGUAUUCCAAUGUCCUACCGGUAAUGGGCAAUAUGAGCACAGCAGCUAUAGCAAUGAAUAAUCUUAAUGCAAGCAACAACCAGUUCAAUUUGCAGAAUUUGUUAACGGCAACAGCCACUGCUAUGUCAGCUGUAACGCAGAAUCCGCAUUGGAAUUUUCCGCCAAACCAUGAGCAGAAUGCCCAACUGCAGCAACAACAACACCAACAUCACAUGCAGAUUCAACAACAGCAGUCACCGCAAUCAUCAUUCGAACAACCACCCAAUAACAACCACGAUGCGGCAAUGGUAAACCUGUCAAGGAGCAACAACGCUAACAUUGCGAACAUCGUUGAUACCGUCGGAGACGGCGAUCAGGGACCAACGAUAAGUAACUUAUUGAAUUUCGAUAGCGGACAGCUCGUGCACAUCAAUUCUGAGGAGCAGCAAAUGCUUCGACUCACCUCCGAAGAACUCCGACUCUCCAAUUUGUCUAUAUCGUCGUGACGUUAAAGUAUAGUACAUCAGUAGAUUAAGAAAAACCCUAUUAUAGCAUAUUAUUUUUGGCGCAAACCGCACCAACUCACUUAAGGGUAUGUAUGGGUUGAUGUUUAAGGUAAUUGAAAAAAUAAAUGCCAUACGUACAUAUGUAGGUAAAUAUCACGUAAUAGCACCUAUUACGGGCACGCUUAUAUGCAUAUAUGCUUAUGAUUGUACAAUUGCGAAAAGAAAAAUAUAAAAUAUUAAAAAUUGAAAUAUAAAUUUAUCAAUGCUUAGUCAUUAAGUUGUGCUUAGGUUUCAUCGAUUUCUACAAGUAUUGUAUGUACACUUAUACUUCGCUUAACGGCCUAGAUAUGUUACGUGCCACAAAACUUGGCCGUUAAACGAAAGCCGUAUAAGUAAUCAAUUAUUUUAAUACAAAUUCAAUAAGAUCGGUUCCAAAUUUGUUAAACUAAAAA